GGUACCAUUAUGUUCUGUGGUAACAGUGAUAGCAGACACUUGUUUGCCUAUGAUGGCACGGACGUGCGUCGAACAACCCGAUUCAGUGCCUCUGCAGGCCCCACGACUGUGCAAAGGUUGUCUGUGUUUGUACAGUAAAGGCUGUAUAAAGGCCCGAUGAAAGAGAAUACAUUGAAUAUUCAUCAGAAACAGCAUCACCAUCUGUUGCUCUGAUAUUGUUGUUGGUAUUGUUGCUUCUCCUGCUGCUUUUUCCAGCACCCUAUUGCUGGCCUAGAGAGGCUGGCUGAACGCUACGGUAACAUCUACAGCCUUUUUAUUGGUCCCAGGCCUGCGGUUGUUAUCACUGGGCUGCAUGGCUUAAAGGAGGCCCUGGUCCACAAAGCUGCUGACUUCUCUGGCAGACCACAACACUUAAUGUACAAUCACGCUGCACAAGUGAAAGCUCACGCUCCAGGAGUGGUUUUAGCAGAUUACAGUUCUGGUUGGAGCACAGACGCUUCGGCCUGAUGACCCUGAGAAACUUUGGUCUGAGGAAACAGUCCAUGGAGCAGAGGAUUCUCGGAGAAAUACAGCACGCUGUGAAGCUUCUGCAGGAAAGUGUUGGCGUGCUUUUCUCCAGCAGAGAGUAGGACCACAGACCCUCAGCUGCUGUUCCACACUGGAGACUCAAACAUCAUCUGCCAAGUUCUGUUUGCUGAGCGGUUUAGCUACGAGGAUGAGUUCAUCAAGUUUUCUGUUUGCCUUUUUCACGAGACAUUCAAAUUAAUCAACAGACGCUGGGGCACGAUUUAUGAGUGCAUUCCUGUGGUGCGCACCUUCCCGCUGCCUUUCCAGAAAGCUUUCAAGUAUUUCAGGGCAUGUUUUGGAAAGUUUUGAUUUGCAAAAGUUUUGCAAAUAAUCCUUAUUUUAUGUUUCAAUGCAGAGACAAUAGCAAAGCUG
ensembl:lncRNA